rnacentral:rRNA from 1 species
AUUGAACGCUGGCGGCAGGCCUAACACAUGCAAGUCGAGCGGCAGCGGGAAAGUAGCUUGCUACUUUUGCCGGCGAGCGGCGGACGGGUGAGUAAUGCCUGGGAAAUUGCCCAGUCGAGGGGGAUAACAGUUGGAAACGACUGCUAAUACCGCAUACGCCCUACGGGGGAAAGCAGGGGACCUUCGGGCCUUGCGCGAUUGGAUAUGCCCAGGUGGGAUUAGCUAGUUGGUGAGGUAAUGGCUCACCAAGGCGACGAUCCCUAGCUGGUCUGGGAGGAUGAUCAGCCACACUGGAACUGGAACACGGUCCAGACUCCUACGGGAGGCAGCAGUGGGGAAUAUUGCACAAUGGGGGAAACCCUGAUGCAGCCAUGCCGCGUGUGUGAAGAAGGCCUUCGGGUUGUAAAGCACUUUCAGCGAGGAGGAAAGGUUGAUGCCUAAUACGUAUCAACUGUGACGUUACUCGCAGAAGAAGCACCGGCUAACUCCGUGCCAGCCGCCGCGGUAAUAC